AACUCUUCCGCUCCCAUCUUCUCUACCCAGCCACUUCAUCUCCUUUCUUCUCCCCUAAUUGUUUUCUUUCCAACCUCUUCUUCUCAAUUCUUCUCCCCUAAUUUUACUAUCUCAACUAUUCUUUAUUUUCGAAGUACACAAGUUGAUCCAUUGGAAGAGUUCGUUAUCUCUGAUGUAGAGCUACUACAGAUUCGAUUUCAAAGGUUUGGAGCUUUGCAUGUUAGCUCAAAAUCAUCAUCGAUGUCUUUACUAUCUCUCUUGCUAUGGUUUGUUUGUUUAGCAACAGAAUCGCAGCUGACUGAAGACAAAAAAAUGCACGAGUGUGUUUCUCUUAGUCAGAUCCCUGAUUUUCAAAGUGGGUUCUCUAGCGAUUCAAGUUUUUUAGGAUACUCAACCAGAAGUACAAGGCCUAGGGUUUUGGGUUUCAGCUAAAAGAGAAUUUCAGGAUAACCACCAUAUAUAUGAGAAAACAGACGGAAAAGAUUCAAUUACAAUGUGAAGCAAAGUUUUUGAACCUGAACAAGACCAGAUGAUUCCACUAGAAUCAGGAACGGUCGCGGCAAGACUAGAGGGAAAGGUCUUGAAAAUAUGAAGAAGGCUCAAGGAAGAAAGAUGAAAAUAGAGAUC